rnacentral:rRNA from 1 species
UACGUAGGGGGCAAGCGUUGUCCGGAUUCAUUGGGCGUAAAGAGUGUGUAGGCGGCCAGGUAGGUCGGUUAUGAAAACUGGAGGCUCAACCUUCAGAGGUCGACCGAAACCAUCUGGCUAGAGUCCGGGAGAGGAGAGUGGAAUUCCUGGUGUAGCGGUGAAAUGCGCAGAUAUCAGGAAGAACACCCGUGGCGAAAGCGGCUCUCUGGAACGGUACUGACGCUGAGACGCGAAAGCGUGGGGAGCGAACAGG